CGGAGGAUCCGAGCGUUAUCCGGAUUUAUUGGGUCUAAAGGGUGCGUAGGUGGAUUGGUAAGUCAGUGGUGAAAGUUUGCAGCUUAACUGUAAAAUUGCCGUUGAAACUGCCGGUCUUGAGUGCAAAUGAGGUAGGCGGAAUGCGUCGUGUAGCGGUGAAAUGCUUAGAUAUGACGCAGAACUCCGAUUGCGAAGGCAGCUUACUGGGAUGCAACUGACGCUGAGGCACGAAAGCGUGGGUAUCAAACAGGAUUAGA
rnacentral:rRNA from 1 species